UUGCCACAAAGCACCUAAAUCUCCAUAUUUGAAGAUUCAAUAAAGCUCGUUCAAGAGGAACAAAUGCAGGCACAAAUGCAAUUUUUGAGGAAAGAGAUAUUACCUGCCUUAAAGAUACCAUCAGCAUCAUCAGUCAAAAAACUUGGGAAGAAUCAAGAAUGAAAAUGUUGAAUUCUAUUUUUUUUUAUUUACAUUAGCAUUGUUAACUCACUUGAAGAGUUUUAUUAUAUUAGUUGGUAUUGAGUAUUUUUAUUAUGUUAGUUGGUACUGAA